AACGAACGCUGGCGGCAUGCCUAACACAUGCAAGUCGAACGAGACCUUCGGGUCUAGUGGCGCACGGGUGCGUAACGCGUGGGAACCUGCCCGUAGGUUCGGAAUAACUCCCCGAAAGGGGUGCUAAUACCGGUUAAUGUCUUCGGACCAAAGAUUUAUCGCCUUUGGAUGGGCGCGCGUUGGAUUAGCCAGUUGGUAGGGUAAAAGCCUACCAAGGCGACGAUGCAUAGCUGGUGUGAGAGGAGGAUCAGCCACACUGGGACUGAGACACGGCCCAGACUCCUACGCGAGGCAGGAGUGGGGAAUAUUGGACAAUGGGCGCAAGCCUGAUCCAGCCAUGCCGCGUGAGUGAUGAAGGCCUUAGGGUUGUAAAGCUCUUUUAGCCGGGAUGAUAAUGACAGUACCGGGAGAAUAAGCACCGGCUAACUCCGUG
rnacentral:rRNA from 1 species